UGGCAGAACUAACAAGGAUUCCCUAGUAACGGCGAGUGAACCGGGAAGAGCUCAAAUUUGUAAUCUGGCGUCCUCAGGGCGUCCGAGUUGUAAUCUACAGAAGUGUUUUCCGUGCCGGACCAUGUCCAAGUCCCUUGGAACAGGGUAUCAAAGAGGGUGACAAUCCCGUGCUUGACAUGAUCCCCGGUGCUAUGUGAUACAUUUUCUACGAGUCGAGUUGUUUGGGAAUGCAGCUCAAAAUGGGUGGUGAAUUCCAUCUAAAGCUAAAUAUUGGCGAGAGACCGAUAGCGAACAAGUACCGUGAGGGAAAGAUGAAAAGCACUUUGGAAAGAGAGUUAAACAGUACGUGAAAUUGUUGAAAGGGAAACGAUUGAAGUCAGUCGUGACCAUUGGAUUCAGCCGGCUCUGCCGGUGUAUUUCCUUUGGUCGGGUCAACAUCAGUUUGGAUCGGUGGAUAAGGGUAGCAGGAAUGUGGCACCUUCGGGUGUGUUAUAGCCUGUUGCCGCAUACAUCGGUUUGGACUGAGGAAUGCAGCUCGCCGCAAGGCCGGGGUUCGCCCACGUUCGAGCUUAGGAUGUUGACAUAAUGGCUUUAAACGACCCGUCUUGAAACACGGACCAAGGAGUCUAACAUAUCUGCGAGUGUUAGGGUGUCAAACCCUUGCGCGUAAUGAAAGUAAAUGUAGGAGGGAUCCGCAAGG
rnacentral:rRNA from 1 species